rnacentral:rRNA from 1 species
CCUACGGGUGGCAGCAGUGAGGAAUAUUGGUCCAUGGACGAGAGUCUGAACCAGCCAAGUAGCGUGAAGGAUGACUGCCCUAUGGGUUGUAAACUUCUUUUAUAUGGGAAUAAAAUGUUCCACGUGUGGGAUUUUGUAUGUACCAUAUGAAUACGGAUCGGCUAACUCCGUGCCAGCAGCCGCGGUAAUACGGAGGAUCCGAGCGUUAUCCGGAUUUAUUGGGUUUAAAGGGAGCGUAGGUGGAUUGUUAAGUCAGUUGUGAAAGUUUGCGGCUCAACCGUAAAAUUGCAGUUGAAACUGGCAGUCUUGAGUACAGUAGAGGUGGGCGGAAUUCGUGGUGUAGCGGUGAAAUGCUUAGAUAUCACGAAGAACUCCGAUUGCGAAGGCAGUUCACUGGACUGCAACUGACACUGAGGCUCGAAAGUGUGGGUAUCAAACAGGAUUAGAUACCCUGGUAGUC